rnacentral:lncRNA from 1 species
ACCGCAAUGACCAUGGAGUUACAUAGUUGCAAUCAAGACUUGAUAGCCCACAAAAUGUACUCAGGGUCAACAAGGAUUACUCCAUCUGCAGAGAGAGGAAGAGAUGGCACACUGCUCAGGAAAAUUUGAGCUCUUUCCCGCUUUGGACUCACUAACCAAUGGGCUCCACUGUGUCCACAUCAUCCACGAAGUCUCGUUUCCCCAGGUAGAUGGAAAACUGUUGUGGAACAACUUGCUAGAUGGGCCAGGUUCUCUUACCUUCCCAUUGGAGCUAGUCUUUUUAAACACUCUAUGGUGCGAACAGUCAUAAAGAAGAAGGAUGGUCAGUCAACAGAACAGGAAAGAGGAGAGAAAA